AGUCACAGGGGCGGCUAGGCUACCCUUGCGCUCGCUGUAACUCCAGACCAGACGGCACUGAUCCUGAUCGCGAUCGUGAUGGUGAUGAUGAUGAUGAUGGCGAUGGCCCGCCUGCUCUCAUUUCAUCGCGGUCCGCCAAAUCACCACACGUGUCCCUCCCCAGCCAUCUCAACCGCCUCUUCCUUCGAACCAACAACCUAACUAACUGACCUAAUCAAUCCAUUCCCCAUAUAUAGAUCGGUCAUCACACACAUUCAUUUCAUUCCUCUCUCUGCCCAGCUUCAAAUUUGUGGCGUUGUAUUACUCUCUCUCUUGCACUUUAAGAGAGGUCUGUGGGUGAUGGGGUUGUUGGAGAUGGAUCGGGAGAGCUAUGGACCUCCGGCUAAAUGGAAAGGGAUUCAAGCACAUAACCAGAUUCUGAGGAUAAGGGCAGAGGACUCCCAGUUAGGUCAGGAUAUUGGGGAAGGCAGCAGUUUGAGCCUCAAAGAUGACUACUACAAAUUAUUAGGUGAAGGUGAAGGUGAAGGAGAAGAAGGGAUCACCCAUAUCCUUCUUUUCUCCAGACCCCUCUUGCCUGCUUCCCCUCUCAGUCUCGGCGCCAGGACAACUACUGCUCGAUGACAACUCCCAAUCAACUCAAUUAUUCCCUCAUCCACAAAGGAGUUGACGACACCGGUUUCCAAAGAGGCCCAGAUGGAGAAUUGGGAACAGCUCCCCCAUGUGUACAGUAGAGUGGAAUUAUAUACUGCAGGCUAGGCUAGGCUAGGCUAGGCUAGCUAGACUUUAGAGGAAACAUAAUACAUACUACCAUCAUCGAUCAUAAUCGCCUUUUCUUGUACAAAUAAUAAAAAAACAACCCUAUAUAAGUAUUUUUCUACCAA